GUAGGUGGCAAGCGUUGUCCGGAAUUAUUGGGCGUAAAGCGCGCGCAGGUGGUUCUUUAAGUCUGAUGUGAAAGCCCCAGGCUCAACCGGGGAGGGUCAUUGGAAACUGGGGAACCUGAGUGCAGGAGAGGAAAGUGGAAUUCCACGUGUAGCGGUGAAGUGCGUAGAUAUGUGGAGGAACACCAGUAGCGAAGGCGACUUUUCUGGCCUGUAACUGACACUGAGGCGCGAAAGCGUGGGGAGCAAACAGGGAUUAGAUACCCUGGUAGUCCACGCCGUAAACGAUGAGUGCUAAGUGUUGGGGGGGGUUUCCGCCCCCUCAGUGCUGCAGCUAACGCAUUAAGCACUCCGCCUGGGAGUACGGUCGCAAGACUG
rnacentral:rRNA from 1 species